rnacentral:tRNA from 1 species
GGGAGUAUAGCUCAGUGGUAGAGAGCACGCUUAACAUGCACGAGGUCCUGGGUACAAUCUCCAGUACCUCCG